GACUCUGGAGAGUUCCAAGAAAGUUGGACGCCGAAGGUGUAACACAGGCAAAAGCCUGUCUAUCUCUCAGGCAAACGGACAGGGUG
rnacentral:ncRNA from 1 species